rnacentral:lncRNA from 1 species
CUUGCCGUGAAAUCAGCAGAACAAGAACAAGGAUUGCUCUAUAACUUCUCCCUUUCUUUUACACUCUCUUCUUCUUCUUCAUAAUACUCUACUCUUUUUCAUUCACUGUACUAUAACUUCUCCCUUUCUUUUACACUCUCUUCUUCUUCUUCAUAAUACUCUACUCUUUUUCAUUCACUGUUUUAUCUAUAAAAUCUUUUUCUUCUUCAAUUUCAAACCCAUUAAAACAG